rnacentral:rRNA from 1 species
AUUGAACGCUGGCGGCAUGCUUUACACAUGCAAGUCGAACGGUAACAGGUUAAGCUGACGAGUGGCGAACGGGUGAGUAAUGCAUCGGAACGUGCCCGGUCGUGGGGGAUAACGCAGCGAAAGCUGCGCUAAUACCGCAUACGAUCUAAGGAUGAAAGAGGGGGACCGUAAGGCCUCGCGCGAUUGUAGCGGCCGAUAUCAGAUUAGCUAGUUGGUGAGGUAAAGGCCAACAAAGGCGACGAUCUGUAGCUGGUCUGAGAGGACGACCAGCCAAACUGGAACUGAGACACGGUCCAGACUCCUACGGGAGGCAGCAGUGGGGAAUUUUGGACAAUGGGCGAAAGCCUGAUCCAGCAAUGCCGCGUGCAGGAUGAAGGCCUUCGGGUUGUAAACUGCUUUUGUACGGAACGAAACGGUGAGCUCUAAUACAGUUUGCUAAUGACGGUACCGUAAGAAUAAGCACCGGCUAACUACGUGCCAGCAGCCGCCGCAG